CGCCCACCUCCUGCUUUGCUGCAAGGCUCUGGCACAUCCCGCGCGGUCCUAAUGCUUGAUGGUUCCAUCAGACUGUGGACGUGGGUUUGGGACUUUCGGACCACGGCGAGGAUAAGGCUGAGUUGAACCCUAAAUCAGCUUCCGUGAUAAAACUGAGAGAUAGGGAAUUACUCAGUACAUUUUAUACUGACAGAUGAGUGCCUAGUGCCCUCAAAGACCAGAAGAACAGGGCAUGGAAUCCUCUGGAACUGGAGUUACAAAUGUUUGUGAACAGUCACAUGGCUACUGGGAAUCAGUCUCUGGUCUUUUGGAAGAAAACACCCUGUCCUCUUAAAUCCCUGAGCCAUCUCUCCAGCUCCUGUUUUAUUUUCUAUUCCUAAAUAUGUUUUGAACUUCAGAGAAAAUGCUUUCUGAGUCUGUUCACAUGAUGGUGUGCGUUUUAAACGCUAUUUUAUUAAAUGGUGUAUUGUGUUGCGACA
rnacentral:lncRNA from 1 species